rnacentral:rRNA from 1 species
UGACUAGGGUCUAAUAUUUUGUAUUUUGGUCUUUUUGUUACCUUUUGCAUCAUGAUUCGCUGAGGUUUAGGUGUUAGGCACAUUACCCGAAGAUUACACGAUUGUUGGGGGGUUUGCGUGGAGCUUAUUUUACGACAGGUCGUCGUAUAGAGAGCCCCCGUAAGGCUGCGAUAAGUAAUUUCGUGUGUUUUUAUAGCUGGUUUCCGAGAAAGGCUUCGUGUUAGGGGGUUUGCUAUGAUGUGAGUUCCCCGUAAAGAGACUUUUUUUGUUUAGCGUUUGAGGGGUUAAGAUUACCCUAAGUUAUGUUCUGUUACAAGAACGGUCACCUUCGUUAAUGUCUUUUGUGUAUUUUUCGGACCUUGGACUGAGAGAGGAAGAUAAUGGCGAAAUUAGUAGAUUUAAAAUUGUCCCCAUUGUUCUCGUUAGUUGUCCGACUGUUUAUUAAAAACAUUUUCACCACAGAUGGUUGGUGGUAUUACCUGCCCAGUGCUUUGAGUUAACGGCCGCAGUAUUUUGACUGUGCUAAGGUAGCAUAAUUAAUUGUCUCAUAAUUAGGGAACUGUUUGAAAGGUUUAUCGGGAUAAUUUAUAAAAUGGGGGUUUGUGUUGAAGUUUGUUUUUGGGUGCAGAACCCCAGAGUACUUAGUAAGACGGAAAGACCCCGAGAGCUUUAUACCGUGUUUGUGUUUAUUUGGGGCAAAGGCAGUAUUUUACUUGUUUUUUGAACCCCCGGGUUGAAGGUUUUAGUUACCUCGGGGAUAACUGGGUAAGAAGCAAGGAGAGAUCCUAUCGAUUUGUUUAUUUGCCACCUCGAUGUUGACUUGGGGUAACUCGUUGGCGCAGGAGUUUUCGAGUUUGGUCUGUUCGACCGUAGUUCCCCUCAUGAGUUGAGUUAAGACCGGCGAGAGCCAGGUCGGUUCUUAUCUACUGUGGCUGUUGGUUAGUACGAAAGGAUUGCUUACGGUUUUGUU